GACGAACGCUGGCGGCGUGCCUAAUACAUGCAAGUAGAACGCUGAAGGAGGAGCUUGCUUCUCCGGAUGAGUUGCGAACGGGUGAGUAACGCGUAGGUAACCUGCCUGGUAGCGGGGGAUAACUAUUGGAAACGAUAGCUAAUACCGCAUAACAGUAGAUGUUGCAUGACAUUUGCUUAAAAGGUGCAAUUGCAUCACUACCAGAUGGACCUGCGUUGUAUUGGCUAGUUGGUGAGGUAACGGCUCACCAAGGCGACGAUACAUAGCCGACCUGAGAGGGUGAUCGGCCACACUGGGACUGAGACACGGCCCAGACUCCUACGGGAGGCAGCAGUAGGGAAUCUUCGGCAAUGGACGGAAGUCUGACCGAGCAACGCCGCGUGAGUGAAGAAGGUUUUCGGAUCGUAAAGCUCUGUUGUAAGAGAAGAACGAGUGUGAGAGUGGAAAGUUCACACUGUGACGGUAUCUUACCAGAAAGGGACGGCUAACUACGUG
rnacentral:rRNA from 1 species